GCUAAAUCUACAGCAAAUAUUUGUUUUUCUGGUUCCGGCUGUGACAGUAAUUCAGGAAUCCAAUCAAGACAAAUAUGCAUAGAUGGAAUACCAGUAACUGUAAUGGGUAACAGCUCUCUUGGAUAACCCUAUAAUUAAAGAAAUAUGGAAGAAUAUGUAGCGGACGAGGGAGAGAUAACAGAACUGAUUGAAAGUCUGGAUUUAUUUCAGAGGAAAGAACCUGACUCUAAAUGCGAGAAAAUCAAAGGUGACGAAAUUCAAGGCAAAGGAUAGAAAAAUGAAGGAGGAGAAAUGGAAAUGGAAACAGGAAGAAUUAGAGGAGGAUAUGCAGCAAAGGUACAGAGGUGGAAGAAGAGAACAGAGGUAACGAGCUUACACGAGAGGUGUAUGGCUAGAGUGGAAUGAAAAGCGCCAGGAUAUUUAAUAAGAAGAAAGUUAAAAGGAGACAAGAUGAGAUUGAGAGCAAGAAUGUUUGGCAUGGAGGUUUGAAGAAAGGCUGAAGAGAGAGCAGGGUAGAGAUUUGACAAGAAUAUGUCUGGAGGAGGUCAGAAGUAGAGAAGAAGCGGGUAGUGGAAAGGAUAGAUAUAUGGGGGAAAGAAAGAUUGCAUGGAAGAAAAUGAAAAGUGCUAUGUGGGUGAAUGAAGAAGGGGAGAAUGGGGAGAGGGAAAGGCUAGAGAGAGUAGAGAGAGAAAUGGAGAAGUUAGAAAGAGAAAAGAAAUUUUAAUUGGAAUCCAGAUACAAGAGAUGGUAUGUAAGGUAUUAAAGGUAAGAAAGAAGUACCAAAAUACUUGAAGAAUGAAGGAAGGGAGCGGGGAGAGAGAGACAAAGAGUGAGAGGGGGGGGGUGGAAAGAAUAGUGAAGUUCAGACUAGGCAGCGAGGUUAGAGAUGGGAAAUAGUGGUUAAGGAAAGAGAAAAAGGAACGCAUGUUAAAUGGAGCAAAGAUGCAGACAAGGGAGCGUGUGUGGGAGUUACGUGGAGGGUAUAAGACAGAUUCAAGGGUUUGGCAGGAUAAUGUAGAGAGAAUAUUGGAAAAGGAGGAUGAGGAGGAAGAGUAGAUUUAGAAUUUGAAAGAGAAGAGAAUGGAGAGGAUGGGGGGUGAGAAAAGAGAGAUGGAUAGAUGUAGCUUAAAGUGGUUAGUCAAAAGAAAAUAAAUAAUAAGUUAGCAUAAUUGAUUAAUAAUAUAUUAAUUGUAGGUAGGGCAAGAUUAAGAUUAAUUUUAAGCUUAGGUUAAGUUAAUGAAUUUAGUACUAAGAUAGAGAUAAAGUAGGUAAUAUUAUAUGUGUAAUGUAUACAUGGUCGUCGUCGUCGUCGUCGUCGUCGUCGUCGUCGUCGUCGUCGUCGUCGUGUGUGUGUGUGUGUGUGUGUGUUAUGAUAAUGAUAUGUCAGUAAUUAAUAUUCAAUACUUAAUAUUUUAAUAAGUAAAAAUAAAAAUAAGCAAAUUUGGUUAUACAUACUUGAAAAUGAACCAAUUUAGCCAACGAUGGGUCUGCUAUGAAGACUUGAUGCAAAUAUGAACAGAUUAUACUUUGUAUUUCUCUCAAUGACCACAUCUGUCCGGGUGUUUCUCUAUCUUCUGCUGUCUCCAAACAUGCUUCUAAUAAUAUUUGAACAGCCGCGCUUUCUUGUCCUGCCACUAAUGCUGUUCUUAAAUCUUCUCUUUCAGCUUCACUUGAUAACUGACCAAUCUUUUCUAUCAAUGGUUUGUCUUGUAUAUGUCUAGAUAACUGAGAUCGGGAAGCUGCUAAUGCAGCUUGUAGAAUUCUAAAAAUAUUUGUACCAAUGAAGUACCAAUCGAUAAUAAGUAAUUGAACGUUAAAUAUUUAAAGACUUACUCAAUCUCUUUUUUACCUUAAAAUAACAGACAAAAUUGGAGCACAUCUAAAAACUCUUGUAUCACAUCUCAAUACUUGUAAAGGAUCUAACACAAUAUUUUCUUGUGUUAAAAAAACAUUUUUUACAAGAGAAUUUUCUAUUAAUAAAGCAUUUAUUGAUAAAACCCAUAA